UUUUUGUAAAGGUUUCAAGGCAUAUCAAUCAAUCCCGGUUCUUUGGGACAGAUUUGAUUAAUAAAAGAUGAGAGUUUUCUCCAAGGCUGUGAGGGUCGAAUGAGGGGUGGGAUGCCCAAACCAAUUUGAGGGGUGCGAGGUCCAGGAAGAAGGUUGUUAAGAAUGCAGUUGAGUUUCUUACAAGGACCAACUUCCCCCAGAAGUGCUGCUGCUGUUGCCGACUCAGAAUACCAAUCGACAACCUUAAAGUAGGGUUUUUCAGGUCAGGACAUUGAGCUCUCAUAAGUCCCUGAUCCCUACUCUACUACAACACCUGUUUUAGGGUUUUGUUUAGCACCGUAAAAUGGUCUUUGACCUGAAGAAUGAAGCCAAUUGACACCUGUGGCUACUGUUUUGAAAUUUCCAGAAAUUCUCUAUUUUGACUUAAAAUCAAGAAAUGCCACAACUUACUCUACGGCCAUCAGCUAAGGCUCUAAUUUUGAGGUUCAAUUAAGAGGCCUACCGUGGAGACUUUACCAGCAUUGGAGGUUGACAUAUGCACCUUCAUAGCCUGAUGAUAUAUGCCGUAGGUUGGGCUAUCUUGCAUAUACUGAAGAUUCCACUUAUAAAGUUACAAUGGGUCGGCAUAUGCACCUUCACAGCCUGAUAUAUGCCUGCUACGCCAAGCAGUUACAAUGGGUUGACUCAUGCACCUUCACAGCCUGAUGAUGUAUCUUGCAUAUAUUGAUGAUUCCACUUAUGAAGUUACUGUGAUGGACUUUGAGAGAUUCUUAGUGCAGAGGAUGACAUUUCCGUCAUAUGUUGUAGAGUCUGAGCAUCAGUUCCACCGGUCCCCAAGGAAAACCUAGUGAUUUUGAUUCUCCCCGUAACAAUAUAUGGUAUUGACGUAGGCCUAGGGAUGUAAACUUGUAAUCAAACAAUGGAAAAAUUUUACUUAUUGCUUAUGACAA